AUUGAACGCUGGCGGAAUGCUUUACACAUGCAAGUCGAACGGUAGAGGGGGCAACCCCUUGAGAGUGGCGAACGGGUGAGUAAUAUAUCGGAACGUGCCCAGUCGUGGGGAUAACGUAGCGAAAGUUACGCUAAUACCGCAUACGAUCUAAGGAUGAAAGCGGGGGAUCGCAAGACCUCGCGCGAUUGGAGCGGCCGAUAUCAGAUUAGGUAGUUGGUGGGGUAAAGGCUCACCAAGCCAACGAUCUGUAGCUGGUCUGAGAGGACGACCAGCCACACUGGAACUGAGACACGGUCCAGACUCCUACGGGAGGCAGCAGUGGGGAAUUUUGGACAAUGGGCGCAAGCCUGAUCCAGCAAUGCCGCGUGCAGGAUGAAGGCCUU
rnacentral:rRNA from 1 species